GACAGAGGGGGCAAGCGUUGCUCGGAAUUACUGGGCGUAAAGGGCGCGUAGGCGGGAUGGCAAGUCGGUCGUGAAAUCCCUCGGCUCAACUGAGGAUCGUCGAUCGAUACUGCCGUUCUUGAGGAUUGCAGAGGAGACUGGAAUUCCCGGUGUAGCGGUGAAAUGUGUAGAGAUCGGGAGGAACACCAGUGGCGAAGGCGGGUCUCUGGGCAAUUCCUGACGCUGAGGCGCGAAAGCGUGGGGAGCAAACGGG
rnacentral:rRNA from 1 species